GGAUAUAGGUGCGUGCUGGCUGAGAUAUUUGUCACCCCAUUGGUCACCAGGGUGGAUUCAGUUCACUCGGCUGAUCCGGCUGGCUUGCAGGUGUCGCCACCCUCCCCCACUGCUCCACGUGCUUGCCUCCUGAAGCCAAGCGCUCCGUCGAAAAAGUCAGUCUUCCCUGAAAGAAGGGGACCAGUCUUCUGUCCAGGGUAGAUGCUA
rnacentral:snRNA from 1 species